rnacentral:rRNA from 1 species
UCCUACGGGAGGCAGCAGUGAGGAAUAUUGGUCAAUGGGCGCAAGCCUGAACCAGCCAAGUAGCGUGCAGGACGACUGCCCUAUGGGUUGUAAACUGCUUUUAUACGGGAAUAAAGUGUGCCACGUGUGGUGUUUUGUAUGUACCGUAUGAAUAAGGACCGGCUAGUUCCGUGCCAGCAGCCGCGGUAAUACGGAAGGUCCGGGCGUUAUCCGGAUUUAUUGGGUUUAAAGGGAGCGCAGGCCGGUGCUUAAGCGUGACGUGAAAUGUAGCCGCUCAACGGCUGACGUGCGUCGCGAACUGGGUGCCUUGAGUGAGUACGACGUGUACGGAAUUCGUGGUGUAGCGGUGAAAUGCUUAGAUAUCACGAAGAACCCCGAUUGCGAAGGCAGUGCACGAGUCCUUAACUGACGCUAAAGCUCGAAAGUGCGGGUAUCGAACAGGAUUAGAUACCCUGGUAGUCC